rnacentral:rRNA from 1 species
UACGUAGGGGGCAAGCGUUGUCCGGAAUCAUUGGGCGUAAAGCGCGUGUAGGCGGUUCGGUAAGUCUGCUGUGAAAGUCCAGGGCUCAACCCUGGGAUGCCGGUGGAUACUGUCGGACUAGAGUACGGAAGAGGCGAGUGGAAUUCCCGGUGUAGAGGUGAAAUUCGUAGAUAUUGGGAAGAACACCGGUGGCGAAGGCGGCGCUCUGGACCGAGACUGACGCUGAGGCGCGAAAGCGUGGGGAGCAAACAGG